rnacentral:rRNA from 1 species
GCCCAUAAGAGGGGGGAUAACAUCCGGAAACGGGUGCUAAUACCGCAUAGUUUUCUUGGUCGCAUGAUCGGGAAGGGAAAGACGGCCUUUGUGCUGUCGCUUAUGGAUGGACCCGCGGCGGUAUUAGUUAGUUGGUGAGGUAACGGCUCACCAAGACGAUGAUACGUAGCCGACCUGAGAGGGUGAUCGGCCACAUUGGGACUGAGACACGGCCCAAACUCCUACGGGAGGCAGCAGUAGGGAAUCUUCCGCAAUGGACGAAAGUCUGACGGAGCAACGCCGCGUGAGUGAAAAGAAGGUUUUCGGAUCGUAAAACUCUGUUGUCAGAGAAGAACAAGUUGGAGAGUAACUGCUCCAGCCUUGACGGUAUCUGACCAGAAAGCCACGGCUAACUACGUGCCAGCCGCGGC